rnacentral:rRNA from 1 species
GACGAACGCUGGCGGCGUGCCUAAUACAUGCAAGUAGGACGCAGUUGCGAACGGGUGAGUAACGCGUAGGUAACUACCUAUUAGAGGGUGGUGACUAUUGGAAACGAUAGCUAAUACCGCAUACUAGUAGAUGGCCCUGCUUUGUAUUAGGUAGUAGGUCGGGUAAUGGCCUAACUAAGCAACGAUACAUAGCCGACCUGAGAGGGGGAUCGGCCACACUGGGACUGAGACAAGGCCCAGACUCCGACGGGAGGCAGCAGUAGGGAAUCUUCGGCAAUUGGGGGAACCCUGACCGGGCAACGCCGCGUGAGUGAAGAAGGUUUUCGGAUCGUAAAGCUCCGUUGUUAAGGAAGCGGUACUUAACCAGAAAGGGACGGCUAACUACGUGCCAGCAGCCGCGGUAAUUC